UUUUGCAAAUAGAACCUGGUAUCAAUCAGAGCCAUGAACAGAUUGGACCUCUUUCAGUAUGCUCUUAUGUCUCUUGUUUACCAUGUCUAUCAGGCAAACUUUCCUCUUUCAGAUAUUGAGCAUUUUUGUAGUUGUUCAGUCCUUGUGGGUUUAAUGGGUGUGAUAGUCAGUGCACUUCAAGGCUAUUGAUAAGAAAUUUUCAUUUUUAUCUUGAUGCUAGUCAAGCUAGUGCAUCAGCAAAUUGAUUCUCAUCUCUGGGAAGAUAAAUAAAUUCGAUUUCAGGGAUUUGUUUGGUCAAUUGUUUGAGAUAUUCCUGGAAAAGAGCAAGACUUUCACUGUGAACUUUCCAUUUCCCGGAUAUUUUGUUGAUUAUUAAGGAGGAAUCACCAUAAACUCGAAGCUUCUAAAUGUCUAGGGAUAUUGCUUCUUGUAGACCCAAAAUGCAUGCUUCAUAUUCAGCGGCAUUGUUGGUGGCCUCAAAGACUAGCUUGAUUGAUAUGGGAGUCUGCAAUGAGGGGGUAUUAGGAUAAUAUUGGAUAAUAUUAUCUCUACUCAUAAUCUUAUCUUUUAGAUAUUAUUAUCUUGGUGAAGUAUUAUCUUAUUGUAACCUGAUUAGGGUAGGAUUCUUGGACUAUAAAUAUUGUAUACAUUGAUUUAUUGUGAUAAUGAGAAACACAUUGAUAUUGGUUUUUUUUUUUUUUUUUUUUUUUUU